GAUGAACGCUGGCGGCGUGCCUAAUACAUGCAAGUCGAGCGAACAGACGAGGAGCUUGCUCCUCUGACGUUAGCGGCGGACGGGUGAGUAACACGUGGAUAACCUACCUAUAAGACUGGGAUAACUUCGGGAAACCGGAGCUAAUACCGGAUAAUAUAUUGAACCGCAUGGUUCAAUAGUGAAAGACGGUUUUGCUGUCACUUAUAGAUGGAUCCGCGCCGCAUUAGCUAGUUGGUAAGGUAACGGCUUACCAAGGCAACGAUGCGUAGCCGACCUGAGAGGGUGAUCGGCCCCCCUGGAACUGAGACCCGGUCCAGACUCCUACGGGAGGCAGCAGUAGGGAAUCUUCCGCAAAGGGCGAAAGCCUGACGGAGCAACGCCGCGUGAGUGAUGAAGGUCUUCGGAUCGUAAAACUCUGUUAUUAGGGAAGAACAAAUGUGUAAGUAACUAUGCACGUCUUGACGGUACCUAAUCAGAAAGCCACGGCUAACUACGUG
rnacentral:rRNA from 1 species